UACGUAGGUGGCAAGCGUUGUCCGGAAUUACUGGGCGUAAAGAAUGCGUAGGCGGCUUUUUAAGUGGGAUGUGAAAUCCCUGGGCUCAACCCAGGAACUGCAUUCCAAACUGGAAGGCUAGAGUGCGGGAGAGGAAAUUGGUAUUCCCAGUGUAGCGGUGAAAUGCGUAGAGAUUGGGAGGAACACCAGUAGCGAAGGCGAAUUUCUGGAACGUAACUGACGCUGAGGCAUGAAAGCGUGGGGAGCAAACAGG
rnacentral:rRNA from 1 species